rnacentral:ncRNA from 2 species
CACCGACAAAGGCAAACCUGUUGAAAAGCAGGGGCGCAAAGCUAGAGGGCCUUACUAAAUGUAUCAUUUAGGUGGCAGCCAGUUACCGAA